UACGUAGGUGGCAAGCGUUGUCCGGAUUUACUGGGCGUAAAGGAUGCGUAGGCGGACAUUUAAGUCAGAUGUGAAAUACCCGAGCUUAACUUGGGUGCUGCAUUUGAAACUGGGUGUCUAGAGUGCAGGAGAGGUAAGUGGAAUUCCUAGUGUAGCGGUGAAAUGCGUAGAGAUUAGGAAGAACACCAGUGGCGAAGGCGAGUCUCUGGACAUUUCCUGACGCUGAGGCACGAAAGCCAGGGGAGCAAACGGG
rnacentral:rRNA from 1 species